CUACGUAGGGGGCGAGCGUUGUCCGGAAUGAUUGGGCGUAAAGGGCGCGUAGGCGGCCCGGUAAGUCUGGAGUGAAAGUCCUGUUUUUAAGAUGGGAAUUGCUUUGGAUACUGUCGGGCUUGAGUGCAGGAGAGGUAAGUGGAAUUCCCAGCGUAGCGGUGAAAUGCGUAGAGAUUGGGAGGAACACCAGUGGCGAAGGCGACUUACUGGACUGUAACUGACGCUGAGGCGCGAAAGUGUGGGGAGCAAACAGGAUUAGAUACCCUGGUAGUCCACACUGUAAACGAUGAAUGCUAGGUGUAGGGGGUAUCGACCCCUUCUGUGCCGCAGUCAACACAAUAAGCAUUCCGCCUGGGGAGUACGGCCGCAAGGUUGAAACUUAAAUGAAUUGACGGGG
rnacentral:rRNA from 1 species